UUUCUCAAGCGAAACUGUUCUGCCUGGUGUUUCGUUGCAUUGCCUGCCUGACAGCUCCCAGGUGUCCGCCCCACCAGAGCACCCCGUGUCUGCUCCCUCCCCCCACACCCCACACGCACCUAGCUGAGGCCCUUCGGGACCGGCGGAGCUGCUGCGGGGCCGGGCCGCGGCGGGAGCGGGGCCCUUCUUUGUGUCCUCGGCGUCGCUGUAGCGCCGCGCCCAGUGGUUGAGCUCCUCGCGGUCGGCCUCCUGGCACCUGCGCAGCACCGUGAGCGAGCGCCGCGUCUUCUCCACCAUGUCCAUGAUGCAGUUCAGGAGCUGGGGGCGGGCGGCGCAGCCUUCAGCACCUCAGAGGGACCGGGACGCACCAGACACUCCCCCAGCCCACUCGGCCAGAGCCCCGGACAGGAUGGGUGCCCGACCAGCCCACCGCCCGUGAGAGCUCCAGGACUGAAGCCGCAGAGGCCACUCCCACAGGUCACCAGAAACUAAGACGUGAGUGACGCCCGGCAGUGGCCGACUCUUCCGCCGUGGCUGUGCCCAUGGGAGACGUGAGUGACGCCCGGCAGUGGCCGACUCUUCUGCGGUGGCUGCGCCCACGGGAGACGUGAGUGACCCCGGCAGUGGCCGACUUCCACGGUGGCUGCGCCCACGGGAGACGUGAGUGAUGCCCGGCAGUGGCCAACUCUUCUGCGGUGGCUGUGCCCACGGGAGACGUGAGUGACGCCCGGCAGUGGCUUACUCUUUCGUGGUAGCUGCGCCCACGACUUCUGGAGACAUCAGAGGCUUCCAGGCCCCACUGUUUUCUGCAUUUGGCCACUGCCCACGCUUCUGGGGCUGAGGUCUCCCUCUUGGGGCCCUUUUCAGCCCCUAAAGAUCUCCUAGCCUCCGAACCUGAAAUGGCUCCCCCAAAUUGCAGAGGAGGUGGGGAAGUGGCAGCCACAGCUCAGUCACCAGCCUGCUCUGCCGCCUGUGAAGCUGCAGCUGGCAGCAACACCCCAACCAAAAUAGUGGCUGAGACGUGCCCGACAGCUGGCGUUUAUUUCUGUAUUAGCAGAAUCGGGUGGGAGUCAGCACCUGCCUGACCCGGCUGCAGCAUGCCAGACGCCGUCACCUGCUGCCUGGGCCCUGGAACCCUCCGCAAGAUACCAGCCAGGCCUCACGGCAGCCCUUGCUGGGCCCUGCAUUAACUCCCCCAGGCCUUGGACUCUGAGAGUUGGGACUCUCGUCUGGCCCAGGUGACAGAGGAGGAAACUGAGAAGCAGAGAGCCACGUGACUCACCUGUGGGUGGACUGUGGGAAUCGCCAAGCUCGGAUGAGAACCACGUGGGCAGUUCCAGGCCCGAGGCCGCCCACCCCGGGGGGAGAGGUGGGUUCAGGGCCCAGGACAGGCCCCUCUGCAGCCACCGCUCUGCUCCAGGGGGAAUGCCAGGCAGGGGGAAGGGGUCUCCCGAGCUCAGGUGCACACAGCUGCCCGUGGUGCCCUGUGCCCACAUGCUCAGGUGUACAUGUGGGCGCAUGUGUGCUCCUGUAACACGCGUCCACGCUCCCGCCCCACCGGGCUGCUCACCAAGCGGCCGAUGGCGCUCUCGUAGCUCCCGGGGGUCUGGGUGGCGGUAGGCAUCUCGGAAGUGGUGGGCCAUGGCUAUGUCCUCCAG
rnacentral:lncRNA from 10 species